rnacentral:lncRNA from 1 species
AUCUGGUGCCAGUUUCCCUCCCAUACAUGCACAAGGAGGCAAACAAACAUUGUCCUGAAGCCUCGAGCUCCUGGCUUCAAUGUCCUAAGGCAAUGUGGAAAUCAGCUGAAAGUGCCCAGGCUAGAAGAGAUAGGUCAUGCCAUCGGGGAGGAUUGGCUGCAUGCACACACGUCUGUCACCCGCAGCCCUUGCUUUGGAGACCGGAGAUGGCUUCAGGUCUGUGCUCAGGGCUGGCCGUGCUGACUCAGAGAGCUGUGUGAGAUAGUUGACACUAUCAUGCCUGCCUGUUAAUUCAUAGUGGAAAACAUCGCUAACAGAGCCUCAGGACCACGUGAUGAGCACAUACGUGCUCCCCCUCUGUGCUAAGCUACAUGGGAAUGGAAAUCUUAAUUGGAAGCUACUUUAUUGAUUUGCUUUGAGUAAUUGCAGCUCUUUGGCUGAAGGUUUUAAUAAUAGUGGCAGGACCCGUGUUCUGUGAGCAUACCUAUGUGGAGUCAGGUGGUCGCUUGGUGAGUAA